rnacentral:rRNA from 1 species
AAGAAAUUAACUAAGAUUUCCUUAGUAACGGCGAGUGAAAAGGAAUCUUGUUCAGCGCUGAAUCCUUUAGCCUAUGGCUGUAAGGACCUGUAGCGUUAAGGAGAGCCUAUCCGUCGAUAUGUUCACUUCGGAAGCGCCCUUGAACGGGACUCCAUAGAAGGUGCGAGGCCUGUACCGAAGUGGCGUUCGAUAGUUUGCGCCUCCGUAGAGUCGAGUUGCUUGAGAGUGCAGCUCUAAGUCGAAGGUAAACCCCUUCUAAAACUAAAUAUGACCACGAGACCGAUAGCGAACAAGUACCGCGAGGGAAAGUUGAAAAGAACUUUGAAGAGAGAGUUCAAAAGGGCGUGAAACCGCUUAGAAGAUAAACGAAUGGAGCCAUCGGUAGCCCAUGGAAAUCAGUUAAACGAUAGACGAACAGGAGUUCAUCCGUUAGAACGUAAGUCUAACGUGGUGGAUGCAUAGUAGUCGACGUUUAGCGCAUUUUCCGUAGGUUUGCACUGCAACCGGUAUAUACGGCUGUCAUAGGCGUACGCGAUUGAGGGCGAGAACCUUCGGGCUUUCGUAACCAGUCGUGUCGCGUUUUUGUCAGACCGUCGUUAUCGGCGAUAUGUGACGUUUUCGACAAUGUCGGCUGUAAGGCUCGUUUGAGCGGUAUGACAAUCGGUCAUUCGGUCGGUAUCUGCUUGCAGAUGCUCGGCUCGAAUCGGUUGCUUGUUCAUGUGCUCGGCGACGCGCGACGUUGUGGCGUUAGCAGUGUCUGCGUUGGUCACCCAUUCGACCCGUCUUGAAACACGGACCAAGGAGUCUAACAUAUGCGCGAGCCAAUAAGUAUUAAUAAACUUAGAGGCGAAAUAAAAGUAAAAACUGUCCUUGUCGGCAGUCAAGGUACGAUCCUAGUUGUGUAUUAACGUAUACACUAGGCGCAGUACCGUCCCGUCCCGUCUGCUCGUCAGAAGGGCGGAGAAAGAGUGCAUACGUUGGGACCCGAAAGAUGGUGAACUAUGCCUGAGCAGAGCGAAGCCAGAGGAAACUCUGGUGGAGGUUCGUAGCGGUUCUGACGUGCAAAUCGAUCGUCAGACUWGGGUAU